CAAAAUGGCAAUAAGUACAUAUCUAUCAAUAAUUACUUUAAAUAUAAAUUGACUAAAUUCUCCAGUCAAAGAUAUAGGGUGGCUGGAAGAAAAAAGAAGGAAGA